UGAUUCGGGAUGUGUGUUGCUUGGCAGUGAACGAGUCGUUGAGUCAGUCUUGCAUUCAACCUCACUCCUUCAAGAUAAAUGUGGGAAUUUGAUAUGUUUGAUAAUGUGGGGAAGCCAAAUGAUUCCACGCCCGUCUACUUGCGAUCCUUGUUGCUUGGCAGUGAACGAGUUGAUGAGUCAUUCUUGCGUUCAACCUCACUCCUUCAAGGGAAGUGUGGGGCUCUGAUAUGCUUGAUUAUGCGGCGCAGCCAAGUGACUCCAUGCCCGGUGAUUCGGGAUGCGUGUUGCUUGGCAGUGAACGAGUCGAUGAGUCAGUCUUGUGUUCAACCUCACUCCUUCAAGGGAAGUGUGGGGCUCUGAUAUGCUUGAUAAUGUGGGGAAGUCUUGUAACUCCAUACCUGGUGAUUCGAGAUGUGUGUUGCUUGGCAGUGAACGAGUCGAUGAGUCAGUCUUGCAUUCAACCUCACUCCUUCAAGGGAAGUGUGGGGCUCUGAUAUGUUUGAUCAUUCGGGGAAGCCUUGUAACUCCAUACCUGGUGAUUCGGGAUGUGUGUUGCUUGGCAAUGAACGAUGAGUCAUUCUUGCGUUCAACCUAACUCCUGCAAAGGAAGUGUGGGGCUCUGAUUUGCUUGAUAAUGCCGGGCAGCGAAGUGACUCCAUGCCCGGUGGUUCAGGAUGUGCGUUGCUUGGCAAUGAACGAGUCGAUCAGUUAGUCUUGCAUUCAACCUCACUCCUUCACGGGAAGUGUGGGGCGCUGAUACGCUUUAUAAUGUGGAGAAGUCUUGUAACUCCGUACAUGGUGAUUCGGGAUGUGUGUUGCUUGGCAGUGAACGAUGAGUCAUUCUUGCGUUCAACCUCACUCCUUCAAGGGAAGUGUGGGGCUCUGAUAUGCUUGACAAUGCGGCGCAGCUAAGUGACUCCAUGCCCGGUGAUUCGGGAUGUGUGUUGCUUGGCAGUGAACGAGUCGAUGAGUCGGUCUUGUAUUCAACCUCACUCUUUCACGGGAAGUGUGGGGCUUUGAUAUGCUUGAUAAUGUGGAGAAGUCUUUUUAACUCCAUACCUGGUUAUUCGGGAUGUGGUUUGCUUUCCGGUGAACGAUGAGUCAUUCUUGCAUUCAACCUCACUCCUUCAAGGGUAGUGUUGGGCUCUGAUAUGCUUGAUAAUGCGAGGCAGCCGAGUGACUCCAUGCCCGGUCAUUCGGGAUUUGUGUGGCUUGGCAGUGAACGAGUCGAUGAGUCAGUCUUGCAUUCAACAUCAGCCGAAAUGAUUCCAUGCCCGUUGAUUUGGCGUUGGCUGCGGUAUGCUGGACAGUUUGCUAUGUUGGAUCCUCCUCACCACACAGCCACCCCCCGUCAUCGGGGUCUGCUACAGCGUCAUCGAGGUCUGCUACAGCGUCAUCGAUGUCUGCUACAGAGUCAUCGAGGUCUGCUACAGCGUCAUCGGGAUCUGCUACAGCGUCAUCGAGGUCUUCUGCAGCGUCAUCGAGGUCUGCUACAGCAUCAUCGAGGUCUGCUACAGCGUCAUCGAGGUCUGCUGCAGCGUCAUCGAGGUCUGCUACAGCGUCAUCGAGGUCUGCUACAGCGUCAUCGAGGUCUGCUACAGCAUCAUCGAGGUCUGCUACAGCGUCAUCGGGAUCUGCUACAGCGUCAUCGGGGUCUGCUACAGCGUCAUCGGGGUCUGCUACAACG